rnacentral:rRNA from 1 species
UGGGGAAUCUUAGACAAUGGGCGCAAGCCUGAUCUAGCCAUGCCGCGUGAUCGAUGAAGGCCUUAGGGUUGUAAAGAUCUUUCAGAUGGGAAGAUAAUGACGGUACCAUCAGAAGAAGCCCCGGCUAACUCCGUGCCAGCAGCCGCGGUAAUACGGAGGGGGCUAGCGUUAUUCGGAAUUACUGGGCGUAAAGCGCACGUAGGCGGAUUGGAUAGUUGGAGGUGAAAUCCCAGGGCUCAACCUUGGAACUGCCUUCAAAACUUCCAGUCUUGAGUUCGAGAGAGGUAAGUGGAAUUCCGAGUGUAGAGGUGAAAUUCGUAGAUAUUCGGAGGAACACCAGUGGCGAAGGCGGCUUACUGGCUCGAUACUGACGCUGAGGUGCGAAAGCGUGGGGAGCAAACAGG